CUGACAAUCUUCAAAAGAAAAUUGAAUGGAUUGCCUACAAUUCGUCAUCUCAGACAAUGUACCCAAAUAAAUUGUGCAAUGUUGCUGCAAGGAGCCUCGUAAACCAAUACCCAGCACUGAGGGACACAUUGCACCUUGGCCAUUUCUCAUGGUAUAUGUGCCUAAGAAACAAGUACAAAAACAUGCGAAAGUGAAUGCCACCAGGAUGCUCUGAAGUCGAUGCAGAAGUGAAAGCAAGAAAGGCAAGCGAAAUUGUGACACAUGCUCAAAAUCUGGAUUUUGAAGACGGGUGAUCAGCUGCAAGUUUGCAUGCAUAUUUCACUAGAUAAACUGACUCUCCUUUCUUUGUUAUGUGGCUUAGUUGAAACAUUUAGUUGCUUCUCUUGAUGUACUUGUUCGUUUCAUUUACAUUUUUUCUUUAAAAAAUGCAAACAUGCAAUCCAGCUAUAGCAACUAUAUCUGCAAUGCUGUCACCAGAGAUUUUGUAGGUGAUCAAAGAACCAAAAUAUCAUAUCGCAUCGCCACCUUGAACCUAGAGUGAAACAUUAGUUCAAGAUGUAGUGGUAGGUGCAUUUAUAGACUAGUAAUGCAGCAUUCAUACUGUAAUGUAUAUUGAUAUACAUGCUAAGAUGUAGCGAAAAGUGUGUGGCUAUGCUGCUCUGACACUUCAGUUGUUUUAACCUUUCAUUGAUGAGUUCUGCAUACAGCAUACCAAAAAAUUAUAAUUUUUCUUGCUGAUUUUUGGCAUUGAGUAAGAAGUUUCUUGUUAAAUGUAUUGAGCCAACACUGAAUGACUGGCAGCUAGUGUCAUUUGUCGGUUUAGAGCAGAAACACAGGAUGGGAAAAAAAGACAUGGGACUCGUUUUCUUUGGAAAGCACGGUCAGGGGAGACAGACCAGUGCAAGAUCUGCUGUAGUGACCUCAGACACACAAUGCAAAGAGCUCUCUGUAUAGAUUCCAAACGCAGCCAUAUGUCGCUUGGGGAGAAGCCCACUUCUUCCCCUAUACUAUAAAGGAGUUUCUACAAAAUAUCCUUUAUUUUUGUUGAUUAUGCUUAUUCUCAAUGUCUUUUGCACAUUUAGGAAAAUAAUUUGUUUUGUAUUUAUAUGCGUGGCCAUUAAAGGGUUAGACAAAUAAAGUGGUUCCAAUGAAUGUGAAUGUAUAACUUUAGCGACUCUAGUCGCAAUGUGUUGAUCAUUCCACAAUCUUUGUGAGAGCACGAAACAGGAACUAGGCAGCAUGAAAAUCACUCAGCAGUACCAAGAAGGAAGCUUCAGCACUUAUACAGUACUGCAGAAUACACUUCUAUGCUGUACCUGUGGUGUCCUUUUUAUUAUGUGGUCUUG